rnacentral:rRNA from 1 species
CUACGGUAGGUCCGGGCGUUAUCCGGAUUUAUUGGGUUUAAAGGGAGCGCAGGCGGAGAUGCACGCGUGACGUCAAAUUUCGGGGCUCAACCCCGUCUCGCGUCGCGACCUGCGUCCCUUGGUUGCGGGACGGGGAGGCGGAACCAGUGGGGUAGCGGUGAAAUGCAUCGAUAUCACGAAGAACUCCGAUCGCGAAGGCAGCCUUCCGGCCCGUCAACGACGCUCAUGCUCGAAGGUGCGGGUAUCAAACAGGAUUAGAUACCCUGGUAGUCCGCACAGUAAACGAUGGACACCCGCGGUUUGGCCUGUAUGGCUGAGCCGCCAAGCGAAAGCGUUAAGUGUCCCACCUGGGGAGCACGCCGGCAACGGUGAAACUCAAAUGAAUUGGCGGGG